GUGGGGAAUCUUGCGCAAUGGGCGAAAGCCUGACGCAGCCAUGCCGCGUGAAUGAUGAAGGUCUUAGGAUUGUAAAAUUCUUUCACCGGGGACGAUAAUGACGGUACCCGGAGAAGAAGCUCCGGCUAACUUCGUGCCAGCAGCCGCGGUAAUACGAAGGGGGCUAGCGUUGCUCGGAAUUACUGGGCGUAAAGGGCGCGUAGGCGGACAGCUUAGUCAGAGGUGAAAGCCCAGGGCUCAACCUUGGAAUUGCCUUUGAUACUGGCUGUCUUGAGUUUGGGAGAGGUGAGUGGAACUCCGAGUGUAGAGGUGAAAUUCGUAGAUAUUCGGAAGAACACCAGUGGCGAAGGCGACUCACUGGUCCGGUACUGACGCUGAGGUGCGAAAGCGUGGGGAGCAAACAGGAUUAGAUACCCUAGUAGUCC
rnacentral:rRNA from 1 species